UUUGAUUCUCUCCAAUGACAACCUCCUCUGACACUACCACCCUUAUUCUCAUCACCAACACUCAAACACGAAACCCUCAUCUUUAAUUCACACCAUGGCAUGAGAUUACCCCUGCUUGUAUGCGAUUUGCGUCUCUGGAUGUUGAUCUUGUCCCUUUUCCCAUGCCAUUGUUGAUUUCAUGGGUCCUGGACGAACAGAAGCAGAGAAAAAAGUGAUGCAUAGCAAGGUGAAAGAUCUACUCACACUAGUUCUCUAUAAAUACAUGAAGAGAUUUCAGAUCCAAGGAAAGAGGGCUACAAAUUUGAGACGAUAUUUUCUAGAGUUUCCGAGAUGUAUGAGAAGAGAAAUGCACUGUAAUCACAAACACAAUCACUGUAAAAAAAAUUCUUUUCCUUUUGAAGUUUCUGCCUUCUGUAAACUCAAGAAGUGAAAGAAAAGAUUUCAACUAGUUUCCAGG
rnacentral:lncRNA from 1 species